GAAAGAGCUUCUGCCCUGAGACUCAGAAAAAUAUUCUCCUGUGCUUUGGUUCAGUAUAGAUUUCUAAACCCUGAUCAUUGCUUAAGAGAUAUUCACUGAGGGUCCUACGUCUCUGCAAUUUGUGUAUGAAUAACAGAAUAAUUUCCCUCUUUUGUUUCGCCUUUCCUGUUCCUGAAUCUAAAUAAAGAUGGCUUUUUAGUAUUAAAAGUGGAAGAAAAUUACAGGUAAUUAUCUUUGACGGUAAAAACGCUGUAAUCAGCGGGCUACAUGAAAAAUUACUCUAAUUAUGGCUGCAUUUAAGAGAAUGGAAAAAAACCUUCUUGUGGAUAAAAACCUUAAAUUGUCCCCAAUGUCUGCUUCAAAUUGGAUGGCACUGCAGCUGGAGGCUUUGUUCAGAAUUGAUCCUGGGGAGCUACGAACCCAAAGUUUCACAGUAGGAAGGGGGAAAAAAGAAAAGAAAACAUUUUUCCUAAUGUAACAAUGCGAAUGCUAGAAAAUGACAAGACUGAUCGGUUUUAAACCAUUCUGAAGACUGACUGAGCGUGGAAGUUGCUCAACAAAAAAAGGAACGGGUAUAUUGUUGCUGAGACAAAGGAAAACCCACUCCCUUGGAGGAGCAUGACCUUUUCCUGUAAUUCUUCCCACUGCUGUUGUUGAGCUCCUUGGAUCCUGGCUCCUGGACACCAUCAUCAAGAAGACUUUAUGGAUGGGCUGUCCACCCACUGAGAGAAGAGGAGCAUCAGCUACAGUUUCUCUCUAGAUUGCCUUCUUCAUUUUGAGUAAUGACUGUCAGCAGGGUCAGAUUAAACACAAAACAACUGGACAAUUGCUUGGAGGACUAAACUAUAAGGGCACUAACAUGUCAAUAGUAGGCUAACACAUCCAUGGAAAAUAUAUUUACCAGCUCUUCUCUCAGGGAGGAUUCUGUGUGGGGUUGGAAGUAAUGAUUUGUUAAAUUCCUUAGGGGUAGAAAGUAGGGCAUAAUCAGAAUAUAGAGGAAUAUGCUGUUUGACUUCAGGGUUUCUGUUUUUCUUACUAGGAUAUAUAAAACAGGGACUCUAGCUAGAUUGUUUAUGACCACAGAGGGUAGGCUGAGUGCUCCCAUGAUCUUCCUGCUUGGUUCUUGCCCAUACAGAGGUCAGCCUUUCCUCUAAUAAAGAUUGAACAAGUAGUGGUCUGAGGGAGACACCAAUUCAUUACCCUACAUGUCUCUUCUCUGCACUCCAGGGCUUUGAUAAUAAAGACACUGGCAGACUAUCUAUCUUCCAUUUCUAUAAUGUGAGCCCUUAGGGAGUCUUCGUUCACUUGGGGGUGAGGGUCAUUGCUCACAGAGUAGUUCAAGUCAAAUGGAACUUGAACUCUUUGCCUAUGGGCCUGGUGGUCAGACUCUGUGUUGAGUUCAUUAGAUUAUUGGAGACACAAGGUAGAGCUGGAUGCUUCAAAAAUAUUUGGCUAAAGGAUGACAUUGCUGGUUAUUUGUAGAUAAAGCCAUGAUGGAACCUGCUUGGAAUCAUGAAAUAUGGAACUGGUGGUCAUGUUUAAAAAUACAACUAAUAGUUAAGUACCUACUGGACACUGUAGAGACUUAGGGGCUAGACAGACAUGGUUCCUGCCCCCUUGGAGCUUACACUGUAGCUUCCCCUUAGGUAUGAAGAACAGUGGCUACAACUAACAAAUGGCCACAAAGAUAUAAUUGAGCCAGUGUUCCAAUUAUUAGGGUAAUUCCUAUUUCCUUAAUCAUUCCUAUUGACCAUGUUCUAUAAGCCUGCAUUCUAUAAAUGGCGUAUGACCAUGGGCUGUUUCCCCCCAGCAAGUUGUACAAAGUUCUGUGGUACCAGGGAAAGGGCUUAAGGUUAGCAGGGCCUCUGCGGAAGGACAUAUGAAGUGACUUGGGUUAGGAAACAGGAAGGGAUAGGAUUCAAGAACAGCUAUUGCUUCUGUUCUAUAUAGGAAACUGCAGCGUGAAAAAUGCUGGGCUGGGAAUUUUGAGACCUGGGUUUUAGUUUGUGUUCUAAUACUAACAAGCUAUGUGACUGUGGGUAAGUCAUUUCACAUUCCAUUUGGAUGCCUCUUGAGUGACUCCAGGCCUCUCCAGCUCUAAAACAUUAAGAUCAGGCCCUACGCUACAGCUGGCCAGUGUGUAAUUCUUCUGUUUCUAUGCUGUUAGGUCAAAUAGAUCUUCAAUAGUUACUUGAUUGUUAUUACUUUUUUCUGAAGUGGGUGUUUUAUCAAUGUUUUAGGAUACAGUGAGUCUGCUUCUCCCCUUUGGAGUUAGGAAGGUUGUAGGAAUAUACACUGUAGAGCAUAUGGGAGCUUUAUCCCCUCCUUUUUUCCCCGCUACCUUUCUCCCUCUCCUUCCCUUCAUCACAUUUCUAUUGAGCAUAUGCCAUUGCCGUGUACCAGGUGUGUGCUAGGUUUGGAGAUACAAGGUAAACCUGAGACUUUCCCAGUCUCCAGGAGACAAAACCCUAAUUUCUUUCAUCUGCUGUCUUUCUCUUUGGAAAGAAUCAACGAUAUCCCAGGGGAAUGUGCCCAUGUCCCAGGGUAACCAACUACAGACAGAUGCCCCAUUCUACUCAAGCAACUUUUAGAGUGCCUUGAGAUACACAUCAGAUAAUUAUGCAGGGCCAGGCAUGGUGCUGCACACUUGUAAUCACAGCACUUUGGGAGGCCGAGGCAGCAGAUUGCUUGAGCCCAGGAAUUCAAGUGUAGCCUAGGGAACAUGGCAAAACCCCAGCUCUACAAAAAAAUACACAAAUUAGCUGCGUGUGGUGGCCUAUGACAGGAGGCUGAGAUGGGAGGAUUGCUUGAGCCUGUGAGGUCGAGGCUGCAGUGAGCCGAGAUCAUGCCAUUACUCCAGCCUGGGUGACAUAGGGAGACCCUGUCUUGAAAAAAAAAAAAAAAAGAUAAUUAUUCAGCCCUAGAGUCAUUGUGAAAAGAUCUAUCUUCAGAUAUAAGGAAGAAACAAUCUUUUAUUUCUUAGGAUAAAUCUGUAGAAGGACCUCCAGACAGUGAAGGCCACUGACUACUUUAUACUCUGUAAGCCAUCCCUCCCUGGUAGGAAGGACUAUUUCCAAUCUUACAGAGUACCUCUCAGCAAAUAGACGUUUUCACAUAUACUGUGAUUCAUACAUCCCUAUGGCUGGUGACCUCUUUAAAAAGGAAAGGAAAAAGCCUAAUCAAACAAAAAGAUGCUGCUAGUAAUUCUUACCCUAUUGUGAAUCCUAUAUAAGCAAAUUUGUAUCUUUGUUUUUUCCUACAUUAGCAGAUCUAUUUGAUGUAUAUCUCUGAGUGCAGAAAAUAUUUUAUGGAAAAAUCAAUAUAUGGAAUUUCAAAUUCAGAAUUGCUGAUACACACUAUUUGGUUUCACAAUUUUAUCCUAGGAAAUAGUAUUAGAGAUUUCAAUUUCUGGCUUAAAUGGUAGAAUUAAUUACUCUUAACUCUUAAUUUUACUUCUGAGUUGAGGUCAAGGAACAGGCAGACACCUGCAGUUAACGUCUAUACCUCUCCAUGGCCAAGAGUUUUAAUUUUCUCGUCUUCAAUUUUGUAGAUGUUCAUCAUUACUAAAUGGAUUGAUUAGUAUUUUAUCUCCUCUCCUUGUCCUUACUUUCCCUCUGGUAAAUAUGUUAUAAACAGUGUAAGGCUCCUAAGAUAGAGUAGCUGGUAGGACUUAGAAGAGAAACAAAGGGCACUGAUAACUCACAUAAAUGGAAAAUUGGCUCUGGAAUAACUGACAACAUAUUCAAGUAUUUUAGUGCAGUGUCACUCUCAUUAAGAAGAAGAGAAUCAGUAAAUCUAUGUGACUCUAAACAUUCUAAUGAAAAAAGGAAUAUUCUGCCAAUUAUCUCACAUUUCUAAAUAUCUGGAUAUUGGCCAUUGUAAAGACAAAACAUACAGAUGAUGGACUUGUCUUUCCACCUCUCAUUUGCAUGGUUUGGAGCAUUGUACCUCCAGCCAUAGACUCUAAGGCAAUUUAUAUUUGCUUCCUCUUCCCUCUUGAGAGAAAACGAAAAUCUUAUUUUUCCAAGCAAUUAAAACUCUUCUGCUUCAGCUAGGAUGAAAGAAUUAGGAGUUCUGUCUCCUUGUAUCUAAUUGCAUGUUUCAUCUUUCUUGUUUUAAUGAUUGACAGAAAACUAAUAAACUGAGACAUCUUUGAAUCCAGGUUGAAUGU
rnacentral:lncRNA from 1 species